rnacentral:rRNA from 1 species
GACGAACGCUGGCGGCGUGCUUAACACAUGCAAGUCGAACGAUGAAGCUGGAGCUUGCUCUGGUGAAUUAGUGGCGAACGGGUGAGUAACACGUGAGUAACCUGCCCUUGACUCUGGGAUAACUGCGGGAAACUGUAGCUAAUACCGGAUACGACCCUCGGAGGCAUCUCCUGGGGGUGGAAAGAAUUUCGGUCAAGGAUGGACUCGCGGCCUAUCAGCUAGUUGGUGAGGUAAAGGCUCACCAAGGCGACGACGGGUAGCCGGCCUGAGAGGGGAACCGGCCACACUGGGACUGAGACACGGCCCAGACUCCUACGGGAGGCAGCAGUGGGGAAUAUUGCACAAUGGGCGCAAGCCUGAUGCAGCAACGCCGCGUGAGGGAUGACGGCCUUCGGGUUGUAAACCUCUUUUAGCAGGGAAGAAGCGAAAGUGACGGUACCUGCAGAAAAAGCACCGGCUAACUACGUGCCAGCAGCCGCGGUAA